GAUGAACGCUGGCGGCGUGCCUACUACAUGCAAGUCGAGCGAAGCGGGGACGGGUGAGUAACACGUGGAUAACCUCCUAUAAGACUGGGAUAACUUAGGGCAACCGGAGCUAAACCGGAGCCUUAAAGAUGGAUACGAGCUGCAUUAGCUAGAUGGUAAGGUAACGGCUUACAAAGGCAAAGCUGCAUAGCCGACCUGAGAGGGUGAUCGGCCACCCCGGAACGGAGACACGGUCCAGACUCCUACGGGAGGCAGCAGUAGGGAAUCUGCCGCAAUGGGCGAAAGCCUGACGGAGCAACGCCGCGUGAGUGAUGAAGGUCUUCGGAUCGUAAAACUCUGUUAUUAGGGAAGCGGUACCUAAUCAGAAAGCCACGGCUAACUACGUGCCAGCAGCCGCGGUAAUUC
rnacentral:rRNA from 1 species